UAGGUGUGAUCCAUUAAGACUGAACCAC
rnacentral:piRNA from 1 species